CUGAGACACGGCCCAGACUCUACGGGAGGCAGCAGUGGGGAAUAUUGCACAAUGGGCGAAAGCUGAUGCAGCAACGCCGCGUGAGGGAUGACGGCUUUCGGGUUGUAACCUCUUUUAGUAAGGAAGAAGGGGAGCUUGCUCCUUGACGGUACUUGCAGAAAAAGGACCGGCUAACUACGUGCCAGCAGCCGCGGUAAUACGUAGGGUCCGAGCGUUGUCCGGAAUUAUUGGGCGUAAAGAGCUCGUAGGCGGUUUGUCACGUCUGCUGUGAAAUCCCGAGGCUCAACCUCGGGCCUGCAGUGGGUACGGGCAGACUGGAGUGCGGUAGGGGAGAUUGGAAUUCCUGGUGUAGCGGUGGAAUGCGCAGAUAUCAGGAGGAACACCGAUGGCGAAGGCAGAUCUCUGGGCCGUAACUGACGCUGAGGAGCGAAAGCGUGGGGAGCGAACAGGAUUAGAUACCCUGGUAGUCCACGCCGUAAACGUUGGGCGCUAGAUGUGGGGACCAUUCCACGGUUUCCGUGUCGUAGCUAACGCAUUAAGCGCCCCGCCUGGGGAGUACGGCCGCAAGGCUAAAACUCAAAGGAAUUGACGGGGGCCCGCACAAGCGGCGGAGCAUGCGGAUUAAUUCGAUGCAACGCGAAGAACCUUACCAAGGCUUGACAUAUACGAGAACGCCGCAGAAAUGUGGAACUCUUUGGACACUCGUAUACAGGUGGUGCAUGGUUGUCGUCAGCUCGUGUCGUGAGAUGUUGGGUUAAGUCCCGCAACGAGCGCAACCCUCGUCGUAUGUUGCCAGCACGUAAUGGUGGGAACUCAUAUGAGACUGCCGGGGUCAACUCGGAGGAAGGUGGGGAUGACGUCAAAUCAUCAUGCCCCUUAUGUCUUGGGCUUCACGCAUGCUACAAUGGCCGGUACAAAGGGCUGCGAUGUCGUAAGGCGGAGCGAAUCCCAAAAAGCCGGUCUCAGUUCGGAUUGAGGUCUGCAACUCGACCUCAUGAAGUCGGAGUCGCUAGUAAUCGCAGAUCAGCAACGCUGCGG
rnacentral:rRNA from 1 species